ensembl:lncRNA
AUGACAAAGGUGUUUGGCAAAUACCUCCGGCCUUCUCAGAGGACGGACAUUCUCCUCAUGGCCAUCAAGGCCUUGACGUCAGACGAUGUCCGGGACAGGCAGAAGGGCACAGAUGUCGUGUACAUGGCUGUGAGGGACCCCGCGUCCUGGCUGACGGAUGUGCUAGAAAUUAUGAGAUACAUCCACAAAUCUGUGGAGCACGUCCGCACGGAGCCAGCCCGCAAGAGCCUGGACUCACUGCUGCUGGUGUUGACAGACUGGAGCCCCAGGGAGACGGUCAGGAGCCUCUUGAGGAUCUCUCCAACGUGUGACAGGGCGGCCGUGGCCAUGUGGGAGGUGCUGAUCUCCGUGCGCUGGGCUUUGUGGAGCGUCUUGUUGCAGCUGGUCGACGUGCUGCAGGACCGGCGGCUGCGCAGGGUGUUCAGCUCUGCCAUGGAGGACGCCUGCAUCUACCCCAUGAUUCUCCUGCUCUGCACUGACAUUCAUGAGGCGGAUUUUGCUGCCCUCUAUGAAACCCAGAGGUACCUGAGGCGUCCCAGCCCGGUGAUGCUCUCGCUGGUGCUCACGGGCCUCGUCACGCUCUCGAAAACACCUGGAACGGCCAGAAAAAUGUCAGUGCUGCUGCCAGACAUACUGGAGACCCUGACGGACACCAACGCCCAUGUCAAGAGCAAGGCUCUGCUGGUGUUCAUCAACGUGAUGGGUCACAUGAAGAGGGAGGAGGCCGACCUCAUCUCCCUGAAGCUGGUGGAGAAGCUCCUGCCCCUCUUCGAUGACGAGUGCAGCCGGGUGCGGGAGCUCUCCAUCAGCCUCUUCAGAGAUAUGAUGAAGACUGCAGUGGGGAGAAACAAGAAAAAAAUGGUGAAGACAGUGCAGAGUAACCUGAUCCCACUGUACUUCCAUACGAGCGACCAGGUCGAGAGCGUGGCCAAGGCUUCCUGGAACACCCUCAGCGCCUGUGGAGACUUCCUGGGCUGGAGGAGGCUCAGCUCCGCGGCCGAGACAGGGCAGACACACCUGAUCGGAGACUGCUUGAUAACGCACAAGAGGAACAGCGUGGACGAGUAUCUGCGCCAGAGCCUGCCCUACGUGGAGAACCCUCAGGCCACCGUGCGGGAGGAGGCCGUCAGGUUCAUCGGUGAGUGCCCGGACCCAUUUCUGGCCACCCAGCCCCAGUCCCCACUGGUGGGCUCGCUGGGGGCCUUGAUGGGUCCCAGAGCCCUCGGGUGCUGUCCUUGCCAGGGGACAGCCCUGCCCAGGGGGAGCAGAGCUCUGACAUUAGUUCUGUGCCCCAGGGCUUGCUGUGCGGCGCCGGAGUACCCUCAGCCAGGAGAGGGUGUGGCAGAUCUGCAACAGUGAGUAGGGGACAGCCUGGGCAGGAAAAUGCUCCAGGGGCAGAUGAGCGGUUUCAGAAAGUUGUUUGUGUCUUAACACAUAGGUUAGCAGGUUACUCUUUAGUAAGGUCUUGAAAUUGGAGGAAUUUUGUUUCCUCACCAAAAAGGAAGGGAAUCUGUGGGGAAAGAACAGCCGUCUCUGUCCUGCCCCUUGCCAGGAGGCUGAUGAUGUCCAGACUCCACACUGGGAUGC